GUCCACGCCCUAAACGAUGUCUACUAGUUGUCGGGGCUUAAUUGACUUGGUAACGCAGCUAACGCGUGAAGUAGACCGCCUGGGGAGUACGGUCGCAAGAUUAAAACUCAAAGGAAUUGACGGGGACCCGCACAAGCGGUGGAUGAUGUGGAUUAAUUCGAUGCAACGCGAAAACCUUACCUACCCUUGACAUGGAAGGAAUCCCGGAGAGAUCUGGGAGUGCCCGAAAGGGAACCUUUACACAGGUGCUGCAUGGCUGUCGU
rnacentral:rRNA from 1 species